UACGUAGGGUGCAAGCGUUGUUCGGAAUUAUUGGGCGUAAAGCGUGUGUAGGUGGAUUGAUAAGUCAGGUGUGAAAUCCCAUGGCUUAACUGUGGAAUUGCGCUUGAAACUAUCAGUCUUGAGGAUGGGAGAGGUGAGUGGAAUUCCUAGUGUAGAGGUGAAAUUCGUAGAUAUUAGGAGGAACACUCGUGGCGAAGGCGGCUCACUGGCCCAUUCCUGACGCUGAGACACGAAAGCGUGGGUAGCAAACAGG
rnacentral:rRNA from 1 species